rnacentral:misc_RNA from 1 species
GAUGAAGAACGUAGCGAAAUGCGAUAAGUAAUGUGAAUUGCAGAAUUCAGUGAAUCAUCGAAUCUUUGAACGCACCUUGCGCUCUUUGGUAUUCCGAAGAGCAUGCCUGUUUGAGUGUCAUGAAAAUAUCAACCUUGACUUGGGUUUUGUGCUCUAGUCUCGGCUUGGAAUUGGGUGCUUGCCGCUUUUACGAGCGGCUCACCUUAAAUGUAUUAGCUGGAUCUGUCUUUGAGACUUGGUUUGACUUGGCGUAAUAAGUAUUUCGCUAAGGACAUUCUUCGGAGUGGCCUCGUUUCUAGGACGCUUGUCCGCUUUCCAAUACAAGUUCCACCUCGUGGACAUGACUUUUUAUUAUCUGGCCUCAAAUCAGGUAGGACUACCCGCUGAACUUAAGCAUAUCAAUGCGGAGGA